UACGUAGGGGGCAAGCGUUGUCCGGAAUUACUGGGCGUAAAGGGCGCGUAGGCGGUCUGCUAAGUUGGAUGUGAAAACUCUGGGCUUAACCCAGAGCCUGCAUUCAAUACUGACAGGCUAGAGUUCUGGAGGGGAUAGCGGAAUUCCUGGUGUAGCGGUGAAAUGCGUAGAUAUCAGGAGGAACACCGGUGGCGAAGGCGGCUAUCUGGACAGAGUCUGACGCUGAGGCGCGAAAGCUAGGGGAGCAAACAGG
rnacentral:rRNA from 1 species